rnacentral:rRNA from 1 species
UACGUAGGGGGCUAGCGUUGUCCGGAUUUAUUGGGCGUAAAGAGCGUGUAGGCGGCCAGAUAGGUCUGCUGUGAAAACUCGAGGCUCAACCUCGAGAUGUCGGCGGAAACCAUUUGGCUAGAGUCCGGAAGAGGAAAGUGGAAUUCCUGGUGUAGCGGUGAAAUGCGCAGAUAUCAGGAAGAACACCCGUGGCGAAGGCGGCUUUCUGGGACGGUACUGACGCUGAGGCACGAAAGCGUGGGGAGCAAACAGG